AUUGAACGCUGGCGGCAUGCCUAACACAUGCAAGUCGAGCGGAUGAAGGGAGCUUGCUCCUGGAUUCAGCGGCGGACGGGUGAGUAAUUCCUAGGAAUCUGCCUGGUAGUGGGGGAUAACGUCCGGAAACGGGCGCUAAUACCGCAUACGUUCUGAGGGAGAAACUGGGGGUUCUUCGGACCUCACGCUAUCAGAUGAGCCUAGGUCGGAUUAGCUAGUUGGUGUGGUAAAGGCCUACCAAGGCGACGAUCCGUAACUGGUCUGAGAGGAUGAUCAGUCACACUGGAACUGAGACACGGUCCAGACUCCUACGGGAGGCAGCAGUGGGGAAUAUUGGACAAUGGGCGAAAGCCUGAUCCAGCCAUGCCGCGUGUGUGAAGAAGGUCUUCGGAUUGUAAAGCACUUUAAGUUGGGAGGAAGGGCAGUAAGUUAAUACCUUGCUGUUUUGACGUUACCAACAGAAUAAGCACCGGCUAACUUCGUG
rnacentral:rRNA from 1 species